rnacentral:misc_RNA from 1 species
UGGAUAUGUAAGAGAAAGCAGAGAAAAAUGAUAAGGCGGUUGCCAUUGGUGCUUUGUCGGCAGGUAAAAUUUUAAGAUUUUUUAUUUUUUAUUUUAUUUUUUUUUUUUCUGUUAACGAUCAUCAACACAAGCAGCACGCCCAUCCAUAAACGACAUGUAGCUUUACUGCUUUUUAGUUUUACUUCCCAAUUAAUCCAUAAGUAUUCGAACUGGUCAAUUCUGGUUUUAAAAACACUGCUGCAAACUUUCACAUGACAGCUC